AGUGAACGCUGGCGGCAGGCCUAAUACAUGCAAGUCGAACGGCAGCACAGUGGAGCUUGCUCCAUGGGUGGCGAGUGGCGGACGGGCGAGGAAUACAUGGGAAUCUGCCCAGUCGUGGGGGAUAACGUAGGGAAACUUACGCUAAUACCGCAUGCGCCCUUCGGGGGAAAGCCGGGGACCUUCGGGCCUGGCGCGAUUGGAUGAGCCCAUGUUCGAUUAGCUAGUUGGCGGGGUAAAGGCCCACCAAGGCGACGAUCGAUAGCUGGUCUGAGAGGAUGAUCAGCCACACUGGGACUGAGACACGGCCCAGACUCCUACGGGAGGCAGCAGUAGGGAAUAUUGGACAAUGGGCGCAAGCCUGAUCCAGCCAUGCCGCGUGAGUGAAGAAGGCCCUCGGGUUGUAAAGCUCUUUUGUCCGGGAAGAAAAGCAUCGGGCUAAUACCUCGGUGUUCUGACGGUACCGGAAGAAUAAGCACCGGCUAACUUCGUG
rnacentral:rRNA from 1 species